rnacentral:lncRNA from 1 species
CUUCAGUUUAAUCUCACUGAACAUGUUAGUACUGCUCAAGAUGAGUAUGUUUUACUUUUUCUGGUUUUAAUACAUUUGUAGAUAAAAUUAAUGGGUAGAGACAGAAGUUUCUGGAAAUAAGUCAGAUAAUUCCACUUUGUAUCUGUUUUUCCUGAAAUUCCUAUCUUGAUUCUACUGUCAAAAGCUUGGGGGAAAAAAAAAAAAAAAAAGCUGAAUUGCAUUUAUUUAUCUUUCAUAGGCCAAAGCACGAGAGCUCUACAGCAAAUAAUCACUGCCUGACUGACUCUAAAGAGCAUCCAUGUCAAUUUGCAGAAUCCUUUUCAUGUAAAUAAUUUGAAGGCAUCUGGGACCUAAGUAUGGGUGUACUAACACAAGUUCUUGAGACAAACCAUUAAGAAAUCCUCCUCCUGACAUGAGAAAACAAACCACUUGAUAUAUUCCAUAUAAAAACAUCUUGAAUCAUUGAAAAGUGAGUUCCCAAAAGGGAGGAGAGAAUCAAAAAGUAAGAUCCUACAGUAUAUCUAGGAAAUAAUUCCCCCCACUUAAUAUCCUUGGAGAAAUCUUUUUUUUUUUUUUUUUUUUUUUUUUUUUUUUUUUUUUAAGGGGGGAGGGAAAGGGGAUUAAUUCACCAAAAUAACAAAAUUCAGUAAACUCAUCCAUGUAUUUCAAGUAUGUGGAACUAUCUUACAUCCAAAAUACACACUAUGGUUAUUUUCAGGAAGUUUCUAGAAAGAUUGUCUUUCUAAAUUAGUCAUCUACAAGACUCCAAGCUUGAAUAUUUUUCUUAAUAUUCAUUGGAAAUCACUUACCUGGGGUAGGCAGGUAAUACUUGAAUGCAAGGAGCAGUUGCUAUUUUUCCACAAUUCAAGGCAUUAAUUUGGUGCCAUCUCUUCAUCUUAUUUCAGUUGCAGGGCAAAAUGUUUAAAUUUUUCUAUUGUGUGUAUUAGGGGAUAAAUGUAACUCUAAGAACCCUGUAUGCUGAUGUUAGCCCUUAUCCAGUGUUUCCAGAACACUGUUUCUGCUGGAUUCAGCUACUUACUCUUCUUACCUGUGUUUAUGUGAAGCUGAAUAGACUGCACUUGCAUAUUUAGACCUCAUUUUUUCUGAGAGCUUCGUUCAUAAUGAUUAUAUGUUCUGCUUGACUGACAGUUUGUGGUAGGACGAUUCAUUAAGGUUAAUUGAAUUCUGAAGGAAGGAAAAAAAAUCUUUGGACAUGAAUGUGAACUACUGAGAAUUAAUGUAAUGUACAGACUUAUAAUCUUCAGAGUAUAUAAUAACAUACUUAUUUUUAAAGCAACACAGGUAAUUUCAGGUUUGAAAUAACAGAGUUAAAAAAUGAGUGUGGAAGGAAAAAUAGCACCUUUUGCUUCCUUAUUAGUGAUCAUGAUUGUUUAAUCAAUAGUGGGCAUGAGAAGUGACACAAAAACCUGCACUGCUGCUGAAGCAGACAGGAUAUUGACAUUUAAACAAAUGCUUUAAACACACUGUGCUUACUCUUCUACUUUUAAUAUUAAAACUUGGUGAGGAAACUUAUCUUACUUUAUCAUUCAUAUUAAUCUUGCACAUACAACAAAUUUAGGAUCUUUUAUUGUGUUAUUUUCUAUAUGAAGAGGUUCAGACAAACCUAUCAAAUCCUUUUUUUUUUUUUUUCAUUUUCUUUCAAGUGAUCAAUUGAAAUCUCUGUAACAUUUGGGACUUUGGGAGAUGUUUCUAUUGAUUUCAGUUGCUAUGAGCAUGGCUAAUGUCCAGAGUGACCCAAACAUCAAAACAUGAUUUCUUCAUCUUAAUGAUUCGUAUCUGAAACUUUUCAGCAUUAUACCUGACUUCUAGUGGAUAUCUGCUUCAGCAGAAAGCCUCAGCACAGCACCACCCAUAGAAGCUGCUCCAUUUUGAUGAGGAUUCUUUCGCAGCAUUUCCUGAGACAGUAUAUGGACUGUUGAUUUUGGUGCUGUGGUUUCUGAACAGUGCAGUGGGAAGCUGAAAGUCACCUCUGGAGAUUGCCUGUUCCAGCCCUGUUGGUCAAGGUCAUCUAGAGAGGAUUUCUAUGGUAACAUUUACGUUAGCGCUGCUGAGCUGGUGUAAUGCAAGGAGGGACACAUCAUGAAAUGGAAACAUUAUCCUUUUUUGGUCAUAGUAGCUGCAUGCAGCCUUUCCAGAUGUCAUUACUUACUGGGUCAGCUUAUUCCAGGAUUAAUGAACGAAGAUACCAUUAUCACAUCAAGAUAUGUACAUCCACUUUUAGAAACAGAACUCUGUGUCAUCCGGGAUGUACUUCUAUGUUGUAUAAGAAUGCAAGUAGGAAAAAACAGUGAAACAAAAUUUAAAAACCAGCAACCAUGAAAUGUCCUCUAUCUAGAGUACUUCCAGAGUAAUACGUACAUGAUAGUUCUUCAACUUUCUUGAAAAAUAUUGGACAAUUUUUAUAUUGGACUAUAAAAUCACCAAAUCAGAGGAGAGUCUACAAGAAGCAGAAGUGGUUGGAAAUGCUUUCUGAACACUUUCCCUAACACUUUCCCUAAUGGAAGUGCUAAGUGCUUUGGAAAUGCCUUUCCAAACAAGAGAACAAAAAGACAACAGUUGGUAUAAAUGCUCAAGAUCUUGUGACCAUGAUUUUCAUUUCCAAAUGGCUGGUUUUUUUGGGUGGUCCCAUCUGUUAUGUGUUUUACUUGCUUUUCUCAAACACUCAUUUAAACCAGGUUUGUACACAAGUGAUUAGAGAAUGUCUGCUUUUUCUGUAAUUGCCCGUGUUUGCUUUCUUGCAAGUAAUAAAUGACAAAUACUUCAACUGUUCUCAUUAUCUUUAGGAGUUUGUAAUCCAAUGAGACACCAAAACUAUGGUAAUUCAAAGGCUAGUCACACACUACCUAAGGAAACUUUGUACAAAAUAUCAGCAAACAAAUUUGUCAGAGAUUUAGAUUUGAAUUUACAGAAGAAGAGGUUUUUUCUUUAGAAGUGUAUUCCUUACACUCAUGAAGAAUACAUUUGUAGAAAUCAAGAUAACCAGUUAGAGAAUGGAAAAAUGCACGAGAGAAUUUAUUUGCCAUAACUGUUUUUUGUUGUUACUGUUACACAAUAUGUUGUUCUGUGACACAAAAUGACUGAGGAAAUCUGUCAUGAAAUGUGAUUUGUGCCCUGCAAAGUGCUUGGAUUGUCAGUAUCAUCAUAUUCUAGGUCAAUUCUGAUGUAAAACAAAAAGUAGAAAAUUAACAAACAACAGAAAUAGUGAAGUCUAUGAAUGUAUGUCUCACACUGGAUAUUUUCAGUAUCUUUAGAGGCAUGUGCAUAUUUUUAAACUCUUCCUCUCCCUUUUUCUCACUCUAGCACAAAGCUCUGUCCUUAAUACCAAAUUUUCUUGCAAAAACAAUACUUGUGGGGUCUCCCUCUUCUACUGAAAUUCCUGUCUUCAUGCUACAUGUAAAGUCUGAGUGUCUUUGAGAAUCUCCAUGCUGCUGGGCUAGAUAGGAAUUUUGACAAGAAAGGAAAAAAAUUUUUUUUUUUUCAUUUAGGAACUGUAGUGGAGUAAGGCACUGACCACUCAUAACAUGCUAAAAAUGUGAGUAAUUAAUGUGAGAGCUGCAGUCAUCAUAAAAAAUCUACAAAAAUUAAAACCUUUCUAUAACUGUGUAGUAAGUGCAUGUGAAAAAACAGCUUCUGAUGACUUGAGAUGAAAGAUGUAACUACUACAGAAAAACACACUUAUUUACCAUUCUUUUACAUAUGUUCAGAAUCAGUCUUUUCCCCAUUCUCAAUUACACUGCCUUUCAUCAAUGUUUUUAUAUAAUUCAGCCUCAGUGUGCUGAGUGGUCAGGCUGGGAAAUUAUGCCUGUGGAAUGUUCUCUCAUGUAUUUUACAUUCUAGAAAAUGGACUUUCUUUUGUUCCUUGUGUUAUUUGCAUUUUUGCGUCAACUGGCUUUGUUGAAAGAAGAUACCUUCUGGAGGUCUUAUUCUCUUUGGUCUCUUUCUCCUUGCUCUCUCAAAACCAUUCUUGGCUGUCACACAGUGCAUGGAGAGAGUUCCUUCAUGUUUUGGGGUGAUCUUAGGUGUCUCUUGCUAGAACAUGAUAAGAUGUGGGCACUCUAAACAGAAAUUAUCAGUGAAGAAAUGUCUCCCAGUUACUGAAGUUGCUCAUUAAAUGCGCUGAAUCAGGGUAGGGAACUUACCCUAGAAUCCUCAGUUUUGGGACCUGUUUUUCUCAGAGAGAUUUCUGUGACAGAAACACAAUGCGCUACAGAAAAGGUAAGGUAUUUAAUGAGAAACAGAUGAGGCCUGUGUAUUGUUAGUGGAGAAUGACUACUGUUUUGUGUAAAGAGAAGCCAACAUAUAAUGUUAAGAAUAAAAACAGAGAAGAUUACAGGACAUUGUAACAAGAAGUUAAUUUUAUUUUUGGUGCUUAAAAUGCUGUUAAAAAAACCCAACAACCUAAACUCAUAAAAAUUAUUCCUUUUUUUUUUUUUUAAUAGUGCUUUCAAUAUCAUUUUACAGAUGCUUACUUUAUUUCUCAACACCGCUUGUCCCUUUACAACAAUAUCCAAAGAUAAUAUUUUUCUCACAAACAGGUUCUGCUUGCUUUAACAUCUGUUGAUGUGAUUUAUUAAUGUUCAGGUACCAAUAAAGAUACAUUUUCUUUUGUGUGUGUGUGUUCAGAAACAUAGAAAGAAUCUAAAUGCAUGUUUCCUUAAAAACAAAGUCUCCCGACUUAGCUCUUCUGUCUUUCUUUUUCCUUAAAGACCACUGGGAAUAUUAUAGUUUUACAUGUCAGCUACUAAUGGUUUUAUAUCCAACAUUUGGUUUAAAAAUCACAUGACCCUGAAUAGCAGUGUUUGUUUUUUUAGCAAUGCCUGCUUAGUUUCUUACAACACUAUAACAUUAAUGUCUUCUUUUUACCGUCUGUAAACAUUUAAGUUAGAAUUUUAUAGGCAGCACCUUUAAGCUUUAAUUGGACAUCUGAUAGUCUGUGUACAUAAGCACCUACCAGAUAAUGUGGAAAUUGUAGACUAAGAAGCAAUGAUGCCAUUGUGCAGGUAGGUGUAGACUUUUGCCUGUUAUGUUAGAUUGUCUCCCAGGAGUGUCUGCUGUAUUUCGGAAACCCUUUACAUGUGAGCUGUUAGAAAAGUAUGGAAAUGAUGAGGCAGGUGCCAAAGCAAACCUCUGACAGGCAUUUUAUCCCACCCAGAUUAUAAGGUUCACACCUUAUUUUUUAUCUUGAAUAUCAAAACCUUGAACUAUGAGUCUGGUAAGUUUUUAUCUCUGAUUUAUGAUAUAUGUUGCUUCUAUUAUCAUAUAUUUAUAAAUACUAUCCAUCACUGUUGAUGCUUCGGUCUAUUGUACAUCUUCCAUUUUGGAGAUUUGUGUUGUAGCUAGAAAAGAACAAACACCAUUCAUUCUUCUGCAUCUGAAGCACCUCUGGCUUUGUGAAAAUGUGUAUGAUCAGAAUGAAAAAAUUUUCCUUUUCUGAGUCCUUGUCACUCCUUCAUUUACUACAUGAAUUUACUACAGUGGUCACCUAACAGUGCUGCAUCAAAAUGCAGUCUGAAGAGUUAUUCCAUUCUGGGUUCAAACUUUUGGGAUGAUAUUUUACAGAAAAACAUUUUGUAUUGGAAGUAGCCUUAGUCAAAGGAAUGUAAUCUAGCGACCUGGUAGCAACUAUAGCACCUAAAGAGGUGAAUUGCUCCUUUCUCUUUAAAUCACUACUUAGUGUUAUCAGUACGGUGUUUGCUAUCUUCACCUCAUAGAUGAGAUCACGAUAGACAAAAGAGGACAGGCAAAGUGUGUGAGAAACCAAAAAAGUCAUAGAGAAAAUCAUUAGUUUUACAGAUUCUUAUUUGGUAGUUCUAAAUUUAUGAGAGCAUUAUGUUAUUAAAAAUAAUAAUGUAUUGGUAUGACAGUAUAUAAUACAAAAUGUAUAUGUAGGUGUUCUCUUGUACUUUUUUUUAAUUUUAUUUUUGGCUCUAGAUAUAUUUUAUGCUAGUUGCUGACUGUGUUGCCAUAUGUUAUGAGCAGCAAGUGAAAUGGGAUAAAUGCAGAAAUAUCUGGCAUGUGUGAACUUCUGGGGACAUUGCAGCAGAGGUAGAAAACAAAUACAAUUCCUUAUUAGUUUAAGCAUGCCUGCACUGAUAGAAGCAUUUCUCUGUUGAUAGAACUGUUCUGGGGCAGAUUAUGGUAAAAAUUCUGCAGAGUCCAAUGCACAUAUGUAGCACCGUUCUAUCUGGCAGUGUGAGACAAAUGAGGGAAUAAGAACUGGGGUUACAGUUUCAGAACUUAAGCAGCCCAACAAAAUCUACAGCAGCUUUUCAUGAUAAGGGAAUCGGGGGGAGGAGAAUGUGUUUUCUCUGGACUCAAGCAGAAGGAAAUGUUUUACCAUUUUGUUUGUUGUCCAAAAGACCAGAUGUAUAAGUCAAUUAAGGUAGUAACUAAAUAAGAGCGGUAUUUCUAUGGAAGCUGUACAUAACCUCACUAUCCCAGUGCUUCUCAGUGGAGAGAGAGACUCAUUUGAAGGAGCCACUAAGGGGAACCUGGGGAAAUUAACCUUGUUAGGUUGAAGUUUGCCUUUGGAGCACUCAGCAUGCAACAUCAUUUUUUUAAAAGUCUCAGCUAUGGGCUUAGGGUCUUCAAUAAAACAGAAAAUGUCUUAGAAGCCAAGAAUAUGUCCAGGAAUGAAUAAUUCCAAAGCAGACAGGAAAAGAAGUCUCAGGAACAAAUAUUCAAUAAAGCAUGUUUCUCAGUGAACUGAAUGCCCACAACCAGAUCAAUCUCACUGAUGUGUGAAGUUGAAGAUGUCAGUUACACAAUAGUGUACUGAGACCACCUUAGAAAAUCUGAGUCCCUGUGCUUUUAAAAACCCUCUGCUUUGCAUUGAAGUGAUAUAUUACUCACUAAGUGAGAAUAAGGUGUUACCAAGCAGUAAGUCAGGCUUGAAAUUACACAUGGCAGUCUCCAUUACUUACACAGAGAAGGAAGUAUUAAAGAAAGUACAACCUGAUGCUGAAUACUCUGCCAAGUAUAACCCGCUCAGUGGCUGAGUAAUUACUGGCAGGUAUGUAUUCUGCUGUGACAGAGCUUGAUAACAGAUUUACAGAACUUGUGAAGCAUGCACAGAACCAUGUGUCUGUCGCAUAUACCAGAGUUGUUUAGUUGUCACUUAGAUAACUGUUAUUUUCUCUAAAUAUGAAAGCUGCUCCAAAAGUAAUACCUGCUAUGUUAUUAUGUUGGCU